CUCCACUGAUCUAAUUGCUUGUCUAAUUUGAACACCGUAACACCAAGACUAGAUGGUUUAGAUCUCCCAAAGCAGCGAUUUCUCUCUUGCUGUUCCUCUUUGAGUCCAGUGAAUCCCGUUACCACUGAAACAAAACAUUGUUAAGAGCUCAAAAAGACUCAAUUCAGGCCCGGAGACUGAGACUCGGCCCUAGGGAGGAAGGCCCAUCACCUCCGUGAAAGCCAGCGUUCAGAGCCUUGCAUACAGGAGAAAGGAAGCUACCACACCGCUGAGAGCUCGUUUUCAUCCAAGGCUUACCACAGUCCAGAGAAUCUAUGUGAAGCAACAGUGCUGACCAGUUGGACCCAGGGCCAUUUGAAUGGUGAGGAAAUCGACAUACUGAGGUUAGCAAGCUGUUCAGCUGUACAAAGUGGGAAAAUCUAGAUCCUAAGGCAGGUUUGUUUAUUUAAGCUACUCCAACUUGUGCCCUUAGGUGGCUGAGGACAAGGCAAGCCACUGAUGAUAUCAGGACUGUGAUAUUCAUUCAUUGGAAGCCUGAGUAACAGCUGAGGGAGUGGAUGGGAAGGAUGUCUGUGCCAGGAUGCUAAGGUUGGCCCUGGCAAGAGCCUACAUCACCCAUCUUCCCUUAGCACCGGAAUUCUAGAUAGCUCAGUCCUCAGGCUAGCCUGGUUGGUUGGCUUGCUUAAAUUCACAUUCCUGGGUGCUACCUAUAGACCAAUCCAGCUGCAGAAGCUGGUGGGGCCCAAGGAUCUGCAUUUUUAUCAAGCUUCCCAGCCAAAUCUUACAUGCUAUUUUCUGAAAAAUCUCACAAAUUGGAGAGGCUCAAAACUUUUCUCCAAAACCUGAGAACCUGAAUCCAGAUCCCCAGUACCCAGGCACAAGCCAGCUCCAGUUGAGGAGGAGGUCAGACAGCAUCCAGCAGAUCCUUAGGACUUACGGCAAGCUGAUCUGACCAAAAUAAUGAGGUCUAGGUUCUGGGAGAGACCCUGCCAUAAAAUAUAAGAUGGGUACCAAUAGAGAAAGACAUCCUACAUUGGCCUCUGCCUUCCUCAUGCACAAGCACAUACAGGCAUACUCUGUGCACAAGUGUGUGUGUGCAACACACACACACACACACACACACACACACACACUCACAUAUAUACUCAGUGUAAG